rnacentral:lncRNA from 1 species
AGACCUAUGAAGGUCGAAGGGGAAGAAAAGCUGUAUCGAUUGUUGAGAUCUGGCGACUUGUUUAAAUUUCAUCAGCCUCACUUCUAUGAACUCUCAGGACAGCUCACAGUAUGGCAGCUGACAUUCUACAGAGUGAGCAGGUGAAGGAAAGAAAGAAAAGGCCUCACGUGUACCAGCUCUCUGCUCUCCUUUGCCUUGGGACGUUCCAUCCCUGGAAGUUUCCCUGCCCACAUCUUUGUAGAGAGUCCAUUCUCCAAGCUUCAGUGUGUCAUCUGUGAGGACCGUGACCCACCUGGUACAUCGCCUCAGGGCAUUCAUUUCAGGCUCCUUCUAAAUGGCCAAGUACACUCAUGGCCUUGAAUCUUCAUCCACUCAGAGCUCCAUGUGUAUUCUUCCAAGCCAUUGCUCUAUACCCGGAACCGCCUUUUCUUGAACACACCACAGGAUACCUCACCCAUCUGUUCUGUGAAGCAUUCCAAUGACAAUAACCACCUACCAUUUUGUGCUAUUAUACAGUUAUCUCCUUCCCCUUCAUCCUGUUGGUAUUGUGUAUAUUACUUAAGAUGAGCACUCUAGUUCUUUAUUUGCUUGUAAAUUAUAAGUGGUGGUGUGGUUUAUAAACUCAUGAAAAUUAUAUUUCACUUGGGAUGAAACUGGUAGAACCAUUUAUAAUAACAUCAUGUUGUUAUGUGGUAUAUAUAUUAUAUAUAGGUAUAUAUAUACACCAAUAUGAAGAGUGAAUUACAUUGUAGGUAGGGUAAUAGAUUAGCUCAAUUGUUUAGUAUAACGUCAAGCUAUUUGUGGUUCAGGUGUGAGCCCCAUAGGACUAGUUACCUUACUAUUUGCUAUAGUUGAAAACUAUAGCUCUACAAUAAGCGGCUGUUUUAAGAUGAAGAUGGUGUUACACGUAGUAUGGCAGAGACAGAGUGAUAUACUCUAAGGAACAUUGUUCAGCUAAUCAGACCUGGGUUCAAAUUCCAUCACCACUGUUUACUUGCUGUGUGCUUCCAAACAAACCCUGUAAAUCUGUUUUCUAAAAUAAAAA